GACGAACGCUGGCGGCGUGCUUAACACAUGCAAGUCGAGCGGUAAGGCCCUUUCGGGGGUACACGAGCGGCGAACGGGUGAGUAACACGUGGGUGACCUGCCCUCAGCUCUGGGAUAAGCCUGGGAAACCGGGUCUAAUACCGGAUAUGACUCCAUGACGCAUGUUGUGGGGUGGAAAGCCUUGUGCGGCUGAGGAUGGGCCCGCGGCCUAUCAGCUUGUUGGUGGGGUGAUGGCCUACCAAGGCGACGAUCCGUAGCUGGUCUGAGAGGAUGAUCAGCCACACUGGAACUGAGACACGGUCCAGACUCCUACGGGAGGCAGCAGUGGGGAAUUUUGGACAAUGGGGGCAACCCUGAUCCAGCCAUUCCGCGUGAGUGAAGAAGGCC
rnacentral:rRNA from 1 species